rnacentral:rRNA from 1 species
UACGAAGGGGGCUAGCGUUGCUCGGAAUCACUGGGCGUAAAGGGUGCGUAGGCGGGUUUCUAGGUCAGAGGUGAAAGCCUGGAGCUCAACUCCAGAACUGCCUUUGAUACUGGAAGUCUUGAGUUCGGGAGAGGUGAGUGGAACUGCGAGUGUAGAGGUGAAAUUCGUAGAUAUUCGCAAGAACACCAGUGGCGAAGGCGGCUCACUGGCCCGAUACUGACGCUGAGGCACGAAAGCGUGGGGAGCAAACAGG